GAACGUACGCUGGCGGCACGCCUAACACAUGCAAGUCGAACGAAGUAGCAAUACUUAGUGGCAGACGGGUGAGUAACAUGUAGGUAUCUGCCCUUUGGCCUGGAAUAACACGAGGAAACUUGUGCUAAUACCGGAUAAGUCUUUACGGAGAAAGCUUUAUGCACCAUUGGAUGAGCCUGCACUUGAUUAGUUUGUUGGUGGGGUAAUGGCCUACCAAGACUGUGAUCAAUAGCUGAUUUGAGAGGAUGAUCAGCCACAUUGGGACUGAGACACGGCCCAAACUCCUACGGGAGGCAGCAGUGGGGAAUCUUGCACAAUGGAGGAAACUCUGAUGCAGCGAUGCCGCGUGAGUGAAGAAGGCCCUUGGGUCGUAAAGCUCUUUCGUCGGGGAAGAAAAUGACUGUACCCGAAUAAGAAGGUCCGGCUAACUUCGUGCCAGCAGCCGCGGUAAUACGAAGGGACCUAGCGUAGUUCGGAAUUACUGGGCUUAAAGAGUUCGUAGGUGGUUGAAAAAGUUGGUGGUGAAAUCCCAGAGCUUAACUCUGGAACUGCCAUCAAAACUUUUCAGCUAGAGUAUGAUAGAGGAAAGCAGAAUUUCUAGUGUAGAGGUGAAAUUCGUAGAUAUUAGAAAGAAUACCAAUUGCGAAGGCAGCUUUCUGGAUCAUUACUGACACUGAGGAACGAAAGCAUGGGUAGCGAAGAGGAUUAGAUACCCUCGUAGUCCAUGCCGUAAACGAUGUGUGUUAGACGUUGGAAAUUUAUUUUCAGUGUCGCAGGGAAACCGAUAAACACACCGCCUGGGAAGUACGACCGCAAGGUUAAAACUCAAAUGAAUUGACGGGGACCCGCACAAGUAGUGGAGCAUGUGGUUUAAUUCGAAGAUACGCGCAGAACCUUACCAACACUUGACAUGUUCGUCGCGACUCUAAGAGAUUAGAGUUUUCGGUUCGGCCGGACGAAACACAGGUGCUGCAUGGCUGUCGUCAGCUCGUGUCGUGAGAUGUUGGGUUAAGUCCCGCAACGAGCGCAACCCUCACUUUUAGUUGCCAUCAUUAAGUUGGGCACUCUGAAAGAACUGCCAGUGAUAAGCUGGAGGAAGGUGGGGAUGACGUCAAGUCCUCAUGGCCCUUACGUGUUGGGCUACACACGUGCUACAAUGGUAUCUACAACAGGAAGCAAGACUGCGAAGUUAAGCAAAUCCUUAAAAGAUACCUCAGUUCGGAUUGCACUCUGCAACUCGAGUGCAUGAAGCUGGAAUUACUAGUAAUCGUGGAUCAGCGUGCCACGGUGAAUGCGUUCCCGGGUCUUGUACACACCGCCCGUC
rnacentral:rRNA from 1 species